UACAGAGGUCCCAAGCGUUGUUCGGAUUCACUGGGCGUAAAGCGUGCGUAGACGGUUAUGUAAGUCAGGUGUGAAAGCCCCGGGCUCAACCUGGGAAUUGCAUUUGAGACUGCAUAGCUAGGGUGCGGAAGAGGGAAGCGGAAUUUCCGGUGUAGCGGUGAAAUGCGUAGAUAUCGGAAGGAACACCAGUGGCGAAAGCGGCUUCCUGGUCCAGCACCGACGUUCAGGCACGAAAGCGUGGGGAGCAAACAGG
rnacentral:rRNA from 1 species